rnacentral:rRNA from 1 species
GGCGAACGGGUGAGUAACGCGUGAGCAAUCUACCUUAGUUACAGGGAUAGCCCGAGGAAACUCGGAUUAAUACCUGAUGUUCUUUAUUUCUCGCAUGAGAAUAAAAGGAAAGGUCAGCCGAACUAAGAUGAGCUCGCGUUCUAUCAGCUAGUUGGUGAGGUAAAAGCUUACCAAGGCUACGACGGAUAGCUGGUCUGAGAGGACGAUCAGCCACACUGGGACUGAGACACGGCCCAGACUCCUACGGGAGGCUGCAGCAGGGAAUAUUGUGCAAUGAACGAAAGUUUGACACAGCGACACCGCGUGUGGGAUGACGGAUCUAGGUUUGUAAACCACUUUCAGGAGGGAAGAAAAUGACGGUACCUCCACAAGAAGCCCCGGCCAACUACGUGCCAGCAGCCGCGGUAAUACGUAGGGGGCGAGCGUCGUCCGGAUUUAUUGGGCGUAAAGAGCUC